AGUGGAUGGGGAGCAACCUAGUUGUGCGUGUGUAAAGGUAGUGCCAAGAAAAGCGAUGAUCAUGUUGAAAAUCAAUUCCCGGUACCCGAAACCGACACAGGUGGGCAAGUAGAGAAUACUAAGGGGCGCGAGGUAACUCUCUCCAAGGAACUCGGCAAAAUGACCCCGUAACUUAGGGAGAAGGGGUGCCACCGAGAGGUGGUCGCAGUGAAGAGGCCCAGGCGACUGUUUAGCAAAAACAUAGGUCUCUGCAAACUCGAAAGAGGAGGUAUAGGGGCUGACGCCUGCCCAGUGCCGGAAGGUUAAAGAAGUUGGUCAGUCUUAGGAUGAAGCUAGCGACUGAAGCCCCGGUGAACGGCGGCCGUAACUAUAACGGUCCUAAGGUAGCGAAAUACCUUGUCGGGUAAGUUCCGACCCGCACGAAAGGCGUAACGAUCUGGGCGCUGUCUCGGAGAGAGGCUCGGCGAAAUAGGAUUGUCUGUGAAGAUACGGACUACCUGCAUUUGGACAGAAAGACCCUAUGAAGCUUUACUAUAGCUUGGAAUUGUGUUCGGGCUUCCUGUGCGCAGGAUAGGUGGGAGGCGUAGAAGGUAUUCUUGUGGGGAUACUGGAGCCAACGGUGAGAUACCACUCUCAGGAGGCUAGAAUUCUAACUUAAUUAAGGACAGUUUCAGGUGGGUAGUUUGACUGGGGCGGUCGCCUCCAAAAAGGUAACGGAGGCGUACAAAGGUUCCCUCAGACUGGUUGGAAAUCAGUCGAAGAGUGCAAUGCAGAAGGGAGCUUGACUGCGAGAAGUACAGUUCGAGCAGGGUGGAAACACGGUCUUAGUGCUCCGACGGUGCUGUGUGGAAGGGCCGUCGCUCAACGGAUAAAAGUUACUCUAGGAUAACAGGCUGAUCUCCCCCAAGAGUUCACAUCGACGGGGAGGUUUGGCACCUCGAUGUCGGCUCAUCGCAACCUGGGGCGGAAGUACGUCCCAAGGGUUGGGCUGUUCGCCAUUAAAGCGGUACGUGAGCUGGGUUCAGAACGUCGUGAGACAGUUCGGUCCAUAUCCGAUGUAGGCGUGAGAAUGUUGAGAGGAGCCUUCCUUAGUACGAGAGGACCGGGAAGGACGCACCGCUGGUGUACCUGUUAUGAUGCCAAUUGUAAACGCAGGGUAGCCAAGUGCGGAGAGGAUAACCGCUGAAAGCAUCUAAGUGGGAAGCCCACCUCAAGAUGAGUAUUCUGGUGUAAGGUCACGGGAAGACGACCCGUAAAUAGGCACGAGGUGGAAGUGCAGAGAUGUAUGAAGCCGAAGUGUACUAAUAGACCGUCGGCUUGA
rnacentral:rRNA from 1 species